AGUGAACGCUGGCGGUAGGCCUAACACAUGCAAGUCGAACGGCAGCACAGUAAGAGCUUGCUCUUACGGGUGGCGAGUGGCGGACGGGUGAGGAAUACAUCGGAAUCUACUUUUUCGUGGGGGAUAACGUAGGGAAACUUACGCUAAUACCGCAUACGACCUACGGUUGAAAGCAGGGGAUCUUCGGACCUUGCGCGAUUGAAUGAGCCGAUGUCGGAUUAGCUAGUUGGCGGGGUAAAGGCCCACCAAGGCGACGAUCCGUAGCUGGUCUGAGAGGAUGAUCAGCCACACUGGAACUGAGACACGGUCCAGACUCCUACGGGAGGCAGCAGUGGGGAAUAUUGGACAAGGGGCGCAAGCCUGAUCCAGCCAUACCGCGUGGGUGAAGAAGGCCUUCGGGUUGUAAAGCCCUUUUGUUGGGAAAGAAAAGCAGCAGGUUAAGACCCCGCUGUUCUGACGGUACCCAAAGAAUAAGCACCGGCUAACUUCGU
rnacentral:rRNA from 1 species